rnacentral:rRNA from 1 species
AUUGAACGCUGGCGGCAUGCCUUACACAUGCAAGUCGAACGGCAGCACGGGGGCAACCCUGGUGGCGAGUGGCGGACGGGUGAGUAACACAUCGGAACGUGCCCUGGAGUGGGGGAUAACGCAGCGAAAGCUACGCUAAUACCGCAUAUUCUGUGAGCAGGAAAGCAGGGGAUCGCAAGACCUUGCGCUUUGGGAGCGGCCGAUGUCGGAUUAGCUAGUUGGUGGGGUAAAGGCUUACCAAGGCGACGAUCCGUAGCGGGUCUGAGAGGAUGAUCCGCCACACUGGGACUGAGACACGGCCCAGACUCCUACGGGAGGCAGCAGUGGGGAAUUUUGGACAAUGGGCGGAAGCCUGAUCCAGCCAUGCCGCGUGAGUGAAGAAGGCCUCGGUUGUAA